GGCUGAAUAGCUUAGUAAGGUAAGAGCAGCCGGCAAGCGAAAGACUCAGGUUCGAUUCCCGAUUCAGCGA
rfam:Camponotus floridanus CamFlo_1.0_1.contig5550, whole genome shotgun sequence.